rnacentral:rRNA from 1 species
CCUACGAGAGGCUGCAGUGGGGAAUAUUGCACAAUGGGGGAAACCCUGAUGCAGCGACGCCGCGUGAGUGAAGAAGUAUUUCGGUAUGUAAAGCUCUAUCAGCAGGGAAGAAAAUGACGGUACCUGAUUAAGAAGCCACGGCUAAAUACGUGCCAGCAGCCGCGGUAAUACGUAGGGGGCAAGCGUUAUCCGGAUUUACUGGGUGUAAAGGGAGCGUAGACGGCAGCACAAGUCUGGAGUGAAAUGCCGGGGCUUAACCCCGGAUCUGCUUUGCAAACUGUGCAGCUAGAGUGCAGGAGAGGUAAGUGGAAUUCCUAGUGUAGCGGUGAAAUGCGUAGAUAUUAGGAGGAACACCAGUGGCGAAGGCGGCUUGCUGGACUGUAACUGACGUUGAGGCUCGAAAGCGUGGGGAGCGAACAGGAUUAGAUACCCCAGUAGUC